rnacentral:rRNA from 1 species
ACCAGACUCCUACGGGAGACAGCAGUGGGGGAUAUUGCACAAUGGGGGGAACCCUGAUGCAGCGACGCCGCGUGGGUGAAGGAGCGUUUCGGCGCGUAAAGCCCUAUCGGCAGGGAAGAAGAUGACGGUACCUGACCAAGAAGCCCCGGCUAACUACGUGCCAGCAGCCGCGGUAAUACGUAGGGGGCAAGCGUUAUCCGGAUUUACUGGGUGUAAAGGGGGCGCAGACGGCAAUGCAAGCCAGGAGUGAAAGGCAGGGGCCCAACCCCGGGACUGCUCUUGGAACUGCAUGGCUGGAGUACAGGAGGGGGAGGCGGAAUUCCUAGUGUAGCGGUGAAAUGCGUAGAUAUCAGGAGGAACACCGGUGGCGAAGGCGGCCUGCUGGACUGCGACUGACGUUGAGGCCCGAAAGCGUGGGGAGCAAACAGGAUUAGAUACCCCCGUAAA